UCUAAAUCCAGUCAGCAUUGUGGGAGCUGUGUGUGCAGACUCGCAAGUGUUUAUCUCUGUAGGCUGGGGUUACUUUCAUUUUCUUCUUUGUAACUUGGAAAUGUUUUGCCAACCCCUGAUGCAAGAUCAUGGAUGAAAAGCACUUUAAAACAGUACCUGCCACAGGACAGAAAGCAGCACUGUCAGAUUUGAAAGCAGAGACUCCUGGCCACAUCAGCUCCCACCCCACAUACCACGAGGUGGGCCGGUCCCUGCUCCCAGGUGCUGGGAGACGCCCACAGCAGGGCUCUCAGCCCUGACUCCACAGUGGAUCCCCCAGGUUCAAAGUCCUGAGGCCUAGGUCUCAGUCCCAGUGCUUCCAGUGUAACUUGCCUAGGGUGGGGCCUGGGUCCUGGGGCUUUACAAAUCUUCCUAAAGGUUCUGGUGUCCAGCCAGGGCUGAAAAGCACUGACCUAAAGGAUUAUCUUUAAUGUCCAGCAUUAAACGGGAAAAAGCAGUGGACACAUAGUAGGUGCUCACUCUAUGUCCAUUCAGUGAUCGACGUUUAUAGAAUGGCUUCCUUGAUUUUUUUCUCAAAGACCGUGUGUACAUGUGGGCCUGUAAUCAACCCCAGGGGACAGAGCUGGUGCGACCCCAGCCAAACUCACUCGGGGGGUCCUUCCGGAGGGCGGAUCGAGGUGGGGGCAGGAGGCACUUCCAUUUUCCAGUCCAUGUGCUUCUCAAGCACGUGUCUUUUUAAAAAUUAAUAAUAAAGAAAAUGAUUUGCCAGCUGUUAAAGAA